AAAUCAAGUCCCUCUAUCCCCA
rnacentral:tRNA from 18 species